rnacentral:rRNA from 1 species
UACGUAGGGGGCGAGCGUUGUCCGGAUUUAUUGGGCGUAAAGAGCUCGUAGGCGGUUCGAUAAGUCGGACGUGAAAUCUCCACGCUCAACGUGGAGGGGCCGUUCGAUACUGUCGUGACUCGAGUCCGGUAGGGGAGUGUGGAAUUCCCGGUGUAGCGGUGAAAUGCGCAGAUAUCAGGAGGAACACCCGUAGCGAAGGCGGCACUCUGGGCCGAUUCUGACACUGAGGAGCGAAAGCGUGGGGAGCGAACAGG